AGAGUUUGAUCCUGGCUCAGGAUGAACGCUGGCGGCGUGCCUAACACAUGCAAGUCGAGCGAGGGUUUGCUCAGUAUUGAGUAUUCUAAAACUAGAAUGUUCAAUUCUGAGCAAAACCAAGCGGCGGACGGGUGAGUAACGCGUGGGUAACCUGCCCUAUACACAUGGAUAACAUACUGAAAAGUUUACUAAUACAUGAUAAUAUAUAUUUGUGGCAUCGCAGAUAUAUCAAAGUGUUAGCGGUAUAGGAUGGACCCGCGUCUGAUUAGCUAGUUGGUGAGAUAACUGCCCACCAAGGCGACGAUCAGUAGCCGACCUGAGAGGGUGAUCGGCCACAUUGGAACUGAGACACGGUCCAAACUCCUACGGGAGGCAGCAGUGGGGAAUCUUGCACAAUGGGCGAAAGCCUGAUGCAGCAACGCCGCGUGAAGGAUGAAGGCCUUCGGGUUGUAAACUUCUUUUAUGAGUGAAGAAUAUGACGGUAACUCAUGAAUAAGCACCGGCUAACUACGUGCCAGCAGCCGCGGUCAUACGUAGGGUGCAAGCAUUAUCCGGAGUGACUGGGCGUAAAGAGUUGCGUAGGCGGUUUAAUAAGUGAAUAGUGAAACCUGGUGGCUCAACCAUACAGACUAUUAUUCAAACUGUUAAACUCGAGAAUGGUAGAGGUAACUGGAAUUUCUAGUGUAGGAGUGAAAUCCGUAGAUAUUAGAAGGAACACCGAUGGCGUAGGCAGGUUACUGGGCCAUUUCUGACGCUAAGGCACGAAAGCGUGGGGAGCGAACCGGAUUAGAUACCCGGGUAGUCCACGCCGUAAACGAUGGAUACUAGCUGUUGGAGGUAUCGACCCCUUCAGUAGCGAAGCUAACGCGUUAAGUAUCCCGCCUGGGGAGUACGGCCGCAAGGCUAAAACAUAAAGGAAUUGACGGGGACCCGCACAAGCGGUGGAUUAUGUUCUUUAAUUCGAUGAUAACCGAAGAACCUUACCAGGGCUUGACAUCCAGGGAAGGUCUGCGAAAGUAGACUGUGCCUUUUGGAACCCUGUGACAGGUGAUGCAUGGCCGUCGUCAGCUCGUGUCGUGAGAUGUUAGGUUAAGUCCUUCAACGAGCGCAACCCUUGUGAAUAGUUGUAUUUUUCUAUUCAGACUGCCCCGGUAACGGGGAGGAAGGAGGGGAUGAUGUCAGGUCAGUAUUUCCCUUACGUCCUGGGCUAGAAACGUAAUACAAUGGCUAGUACAAUGCGCAGCGAAGCCGCGAGGUGAA
rnacentral:rRNA from 1 species